rnacentral:lncRNA from 1 species
UUUAAAUGAUACAUCAUCACUAAAGUGAGAAUAUAUUUAUAGUCAUUUACAAAGUGAGAUUAUUUAGUUCUCUCUAUAUUUUUAGAUCCUGGAGCCCAAAAACGUGUUACUUCUUUGGAGAAAGGGCAUGAGUCACUUUUCAAUGGACUUGUUUGUGAUUGUGUCUUUUCUAAAAACCUAGCUGAAGAAAACGGAUUUCUCCCAAAGUGAGAAAAGCUACUGUCACCCGUCUGCUACCUAUUUCCUGGGUGGUAUCUUUCAGCCCAUAAAAGUGCACAUAUGAAAAUAUACAAUUAAGUGGACUCCUUCACCCUUAAUAACUUAUUUUCCUCUUUAAUAGUUUUUGAUCAUCAUGUUCAUCCCAAACACACAUAUCAAUUUUUCUCUGAACAAGAGGGUUUUCUCUUAUGUCAUCUUCUCCGUGCCUUGCAUAAAUAGUCCUAUAAAAAAAGUGACCUGCUAAUUAUGAGUGAUUGCUUUUCCCAUUCCAGGGUGACUGAGGAAUAAUUUAAACUAAGUAUUCAUAGUCAGGAAUCAUCAACUGAUUGCACUCCAGAUUAAGCUUCCUGGGCCCAAGUGCUGUCUGGCUUUAGCCUGAACAUGGCACUGCAUUCUAUCUGUCCUAUUCAGCCCAAACAAGGAGACCUUAUUUGCUAAACCAUUUUAAUUCAUUCUGCACAAUUUAAUUAUGCUUCAGUGCGAAACCACCUGUGACCUUGGGUUUAGUAAUGAAAUCCACUCCCUAGUCACCAAUGCCAAAAGUAAUCUGUUUGGCAAAGAUGGUAGAAAAUAAGAAUCUUAAAUAUUGCUCAGAACUGGAAGAACCACACUCUUUUGAUGUGCUCUUUUAGUUUGCUUGCAGGCCUUUUGCUGUUUUCUGCAGGGGAUUUUAUGAGAAGUAUCUUCACUGGAAGAUUUGAAUGGAAUUUGAAAUGACACAUAGCUGUUUCAGUGAGAAAACAGAUGAAAAUGUCCAUUGUUUUUCUGUACUUUGUGAGCCAGAAGCCCCUGUGUUCUGUCUCCAUCUGAAAUGCGUGGCAGAGAACUAAGAAGCACGGCAAAUGAGCUCCCAGAUCCAUCUGAAUGAAUACACCAAGACUCUGUGGAUGUUCCUAGAUACCAGAUUCUCU